rnacentral:misc_RNA from 1 species
UUUCCGUAGGUGAACCUGCGGAAGGAUCAUUAAAGAGUAAGGGUGCUCAGCGCCCGACCUCCAACCCUUUGUUGUUAAAACUACCUUGUUGCUUUGGCGGGACCGCUCGGUCUCGAGCCGCUGGGGAUUCGUCCCAGGCGAGCCCCCGCCAGAGUUACACCAAACUCUUGUUAUUUAACCGGUCGUCUGAGUUAAAAUUUUGAAUAAAUCAAAACUUUCAACAACGGAUCUCUUGGUUCUC